UACGUAGGAGGCAAGCGUUGUCCGGAAUUACUGGGCGUAAAGCGCGUGUAGGUGGUGGGACAAGUCUGCUGUGAAAGCGCCUGGCUUAACCGGGCGAGGUCGGCGGAAACUGUCCGACUCGAGGACGGUAGAGGGGGGUGGAAUUCCCGGUGUAGUGGUGAAAUGCGUAGAGAUCGGGAGGAACACCUGUGGCGAAGGCGGCAUCCUGGACCGGCAUUGACGCUGAGGCGCGAAAGCCAGGGGAGCAAACGGG
rnacentral:rRNA from 1 species